AUUGAACGCUGGCGGCAGGCUUAACACAUGCAAGUCGAACGAGUGGCGGACGGGUGAGUAAUGGCUGGUAAACUGCCUGAUGGAGGGGGAUAACUACUGGAAACGGUAGCUAUUACAUCAUACCAGCGGAUGUGCCCAGAUGGGAUUCGCUUGGAGGUGGGGUAACGGCUCACCUAGGAGACGGUCCCUAGCUGGUAUGAGAGGAUGAUCAGCCACACUGGAACGGAGACGCGGUCCAACCGCAUAGGGUAGUGAGCAGUGAGGAAGAGGGAACAAUGGGCGAGGGACUGAGGCAGCCAUGCCGCGAGUAUGAAGAAGGCCUGCGGGUUGUAAAGUACUUUCAGCGGGGAGGCGUUACCCGCAGAAGAAGCACCGGCUAACUCCGUGCCAGCAGCCGCGGUAAUAC
rnacentral:rRNA from 1 species